rnacentral:rRNA from 1 species
AGUAACACUGUGACUAAUCUACCCUCGAGUGGGGAAUAACGUGAGAGAAAUCUUAGCUAAUACCUGAUAACACUUACGAGUCAAAGCAGCAAUGCGCUUGGGGAGGAGGUCGCGGCGAUUAGCUAGUUGGUGGGGUAAUGGCCCACCAAGGCGAUGAUCGGUAUCCGGCCUGAGAGGGCGCACGGACACACUGGAACUGAAACACGGUCCAGACUCCUACGGGAGGCAGCAGUGGGGAAUUUUGCGCACUGGGGGAAACCCUGACGCAAAGCCGGUUGGAGGAUGACCGUAUCUUGGUACGUAAACUCCUUUCGAUGGGGAAGAUAACUGACGGUAACCCAUAGGAAGAAGCCCCGGCUAACUUACGUGCCAGCAGCCGCGGUAAUACGAGGGGGGCGAGCGUUGUUCGGAAUUAUUGGGCGUAAAGGGUGCGUAGCGGUUUUGUAAGUCUUAUGUGAAAUCUAUGGGCUCAAUCAUAGAUGCAUGAGAAACUGCAGGGCUUUGAC